ACGUUUGUGGACAGCGCCUCGAGCCAAGCGGUCUUCCACCACAGGAACACCGGAGACACUGUUGUUUGCGCCAGCCGUUUUAUUCAAGAGAAAGAGGGGAAAUCCAAGAUGGUGGCAGUCAGGGAGAGACAGGACUGCUGUUCCUGGCCAAGCAAAACCUGCCAAGAAGAAUUUUCUCUAAUGUUGUACACAGUAGGAUUAUGGGAGUUUUAUACUUAAAGGACAAAUAAAACGCAAUGUCAGUUGACUGUCAUUGCAUUU